AGAGGAGAAAAGGGAGUUACCCGGACCUCCUCCGCUAUCGCAGGUUGAGCCCCCGCUAUAGCAGGCUGAUCCCGAGCCACCCCGGCAGGAGCCUGCUCCUCCACAGUACCACCCGGCACCACAGCCGCGGUACGACCCGGUACCACAGCCACGGUACCACCAGGCACCGCCACAGCACAUUCCAGUACCCCCACCACAUCAGCAGGUGCCACCACAGGGUCCCCCAAUUCACCCUCAGCCGGCCCCAGUCCCUCUACCUCGGGACCCCGCUCCUUCCUUAAUCGACCCGGCUUCAUAGAGAGGUACAGAAGACUGAACCCUUCUACUUUUGCAGGGGGAUCCUCUUUUGAAGAGGCCCAAUACUAGCUGGCAGAGACUGAGAGAGCUUU
rnacentral:lncRNA from 1 species